GGGCUUGUAGCUCAGUGGAUAGAGCGACGGCCUCCUAAGCCGUAGGUCGGCGGUUCGAGUCCGCCCAAGCUCGCCA
rnacentral:tRNA from 2 species